UUUAAAGUCUGUAAAAAAAACCAAUGUAUUAUCAUUAUCAUCUUUGCUGCAAGAGUGGGAAAAAUAUUGCAGUUGAAAAAGCUGUUAUAUUGUAUUACCUGGGGUUAAUUAGUGUGAUCACUCUCACCUGUGUCUCAGUUCAUUAGUCUCACUCCUGUCACCUGGUGCACCUCUCUCUCACUCUGUCUUGAUGGGAUCAUUGUUCAAGUGUGUGUACUGUUCAGUUUGUUCUGUGUGUGUUCUGAGUCCAUUCUGGGAGUUCUGUGUUCUUGCCCUGAUGGUGAUGCCCUGUGAUGUCCAUACCUUGUCUUCCUGUGACCUAGAUGCCACUGCACUGGGGGAAAACUCCAUCUGUUGCCAAUGCUUCUUCAUGCUUGUUGAGCCAUUCACAUGAUGAGCUCCAGUGAAGAGAACGUCACCACUUCACUGUGUGGUCAACCAGCUUCUUCAGCAGAGCAAACCUCAGACAUCAACACCGUCCCUCGCUGUGUUCUGGUUGCUUUGUUCAUUUUAAUAAUGUAUGACUGAGACUGGGUUGUCUUGGCUGGGAACAGAGAGCAUAAAAACUCCGAGCAAAGACAGACCAAAGGACACCAGACCCACUGGAGCUUUGACGAUCUGGUCUAGGAAAUCAAGCUGUCUAUUUUCAGGGAAGGAGAAACAAUAAUGAACUAAAAAAAGACAAAAGUCUCUGUGUAAUUCUAUCACUGAACACUUCCAUGACGUUUUUGGCUCCCCUACAGGUCAUUUAGAGCAGAGCUCUUCAUUAAGCAGGGAUCCCCCACUAUAUGACUUUAUUGAAUAUUUUAUAUUAAACUAGGCCUAGUGCCAUGUAAACAGUAUCCUGUUCUUUUCUUUUUAUUAUUGGCUACUUAGCUACACUAAUAAUUCAUAGGUUCACAUAUUACAUUAGCUAAUAAUGUUUAUUUAACCUUAUUUAACCGAACGUACGUGAAUGUGGUGUCAUGCUGAUCAAAAUAAAACUUUUACUUUUGUGCUUUUUGUAGUUUAACUUUUACGUAAACUGUGUCUAUUUGCCCUGGGUUAAAAAUGUAAUUUGAAAAAAAAAAAAAAAACCCCAAAACAAAA